GAUGAACGCUGGCGGCGUGCUUAACACAUGCAAGUCGAACGGAAAGGCCCAAGCUUGCUUGGGUACUCGAGUGGCGAACGGGUGAUUAACACGUGGGUGAUCUGCCCUGCACUUCGGGAUAAGCCUGGGAAACUGGGUCUAAUACCGGAUAGGACCACUUCUUGGAUGUUGUGGUGGAAAGUUUUUUCGGUGUGGGAUGAGCUCGCGGCCUAUCAGCUUGUUGGUGGGGUAAUGGCCUACCAAGGCGUCGACGGGUAGCCGGCCUGAGAGGGUGUACGGCGACAUUGGGACUGAGAGAAGGCACAGACGCCUACGGGAGGCAGAAGUGGGGAAGAUUGCACAAUGGGCGCAAGCCUGAUGCAGCGACGCCGCGUGGGGGAUGACGGCCUUCGGGUUGUAAACUCCGUUCGCUAGGGACGAAGCGUUUUGUGACGGUACCUGGAGAAGAAGCACCGGCUAACUACGUG
rnacentral:rRNA from 1 species